rnacentral:tRNA from 1 species
AAUCCUAUAGUAUAACAAUAACAUUAAAUUGCAAGUUUAAAGAUGUGUAUAAAAGUCACUAGGAUUU